rnacentral:tRNA from 1 species
AGGACCAUAGCCAAGCGGUAAGGCAAGGGACUUUGACUCCCUCAUGCGCUGGUUCGAGUCCAGCCGUCCCUGCCA